rnacentral:lncRNA from 1 species
CUCUUGGGCGUCCCCUCCUUCUUUUUCUGUCAUGGAUGACUAGAAAAGGGUGCACAAUAUGUUCCAUAAAAGUCACAAAAAUCUCAAAAAAAAUUAGAUAAAAUCAGGGCCAUAAGGAAAGAGUUUUGGUUUUCUAAAACUCUAUCUCAUAGAAUUUGAAAUCCAAACUAAUUCCUACUUUGACUUCAUCCACAACCACAUUCCAUGUC